rnacentral:rRNA from 1 species
AGGUCGAAGCCGGAUGAAGAGAGCUUGCUCUCUUGAUUCAGCGGCGGACGGGUGAGUAAUGCCUAGGAAUCUGCCUGAUAGUGGGGGACAACGUUUCGAAAGGAACGCUAAUACCGCAUACGUCCUACGGGAGAAAGCAGGGGACCUUCGGGCCUUGCGCCAUCAGAUGAGCCUAGGUCGGAUUAGCUAGUUGGUGAGGUAACGGCUCACCAAGGCGACGAUCCGUAACUGGUCUGAGAGGAUGAUCAGUCACACUGGAACUGAGACACGGUCCAGACUCCUACGGGAGGCAGCAGUGGGGAAUAUUGGACAAUGGGCGAAAGCCUGAUCCAGCCAUGCCGCGUGUGUGAAGAAGGUCUUCGGAUUGUAAAGCACUUUAAGUUGGGAGGAAGGGCAUUAACCUAAUACGUUAGUGUUUUGACGUUACCGACAGAAUAAGCACCGGCUAACUUCGUGCCAGCAGCCGCGGUAAUACGAAGGGUGCAAGCGUUAAUCGGAAUUACUGGGCGUAAAGCGCGCGUAGGUGGUUUGUUAAGUUGAAUGUGAAAGCCCCGGGCUCAACCUGGGAACUGCAUCCAAAACUGGCAAGCUAGAGUAUGGCAGAGGGUGGUGGAAUUUCCUGUGUAGCGGUGAAAUGCGUAGAUAUAGGAAGGAACACCAGUGGCGAAGGCGACCACCUGGGCUAAUACUGACACUGAGGUGCGAAAGCGUGGGAGCAAACAGGAUUAGAUACCCUGGUAGUCCACGCCGUAAACGAUGUCGACUAGCCGUUGGGAUCCUUGAGAUCUUAGUGGCGCAGCUAACGCAUUAAGUCGACCGCCUGGGGAGUACGGGCGCAAGGUUAAAACUCAAAUGAAUUGACGGGGCCCGCACAAGCCGGUGGAGCCAUG